GGGUAGCUCAGUUGGUUAGAAUGUGGUGCUGAUAGUGCCAAGGCUGCAGGUUCGAUUCCCGUAUGAGACA